CUCUUUAUACGUCAACCAAUAUCACUAUACCUUUACUUUGUACUCCUAUAUCAAGGAUAACUGGUUUUAUUAAAAUUAGAAUCGGCAAAUUGCGGCAUUGACUGUCACAUAAGGUGAAUAGUAUAACAGUAAUAAUGAUUAUGAGGUAUUAUUUGAUACCACUAUUAAUACUGGAAUGUUGUCUACUUGUAUUAAGUGUACCUAUUAAAACAGCUGUGACACCUCAUAAGAAACCAGAUGUUCGACCUUACAGAGAAACUGAUCCUGUAAUCUUAACGGAAGUAAUCCUAACACCUACAACCAAAGCGAGGCCACCAACGACUACGGUAACAACAACAGUAGCGCCCUCUAAAAAUAUAACACAGGACAACAACAAAUACACAAACCGCCACAUGUCAAACAAUCGACAACUUCCAGCGUGACUAAGUCGUAAUUCCAUCAUUCUUCACACAUCUAUAGCCGGUUGUGAUUCACGGGGACAUCAUGAGGGAGGUGUUAUUGAGCUGAGGUGUUAUUGUAGUGUGUUAUAGAUCAAGUCAUACGAUUAAUGUUUUGUUUUGAAAGAUUAAGCAUAAGUCGGAUUGUUGGCUAAUUUUAGCUUAAAUUUCGGUUCAUUGUGUGGACAUAAAAUCCGGUUAUAUCUAAUCAAGGGCUUUAUCUAUGGAUAUAAUAUUUCUACGAAGAUCGGGGCCCCACAAAAUAGUUUAACACAUAAAAUUCGGUAUAAAAAAGUGCUAGAGUGUAUGUAUUUUUGUGUAUUAAUUAACGGUGUUUUAAUAGUUUUUGUUCAAUUGGUACUUAGUGCAUAUAUAUCCACGUUACUAAAAACAAACAUACAUAAUAUGUAAUAAUAAAGGAGUUAUAAGAGGU